rnacentral:rRNA from 1 species
UACGUAGGUGGCGAGCGUUGUCCGGAAUUACUGGGCGUAAAGGGUGCGUAGGCGGUUUAUUAAGUCAGAUGUGAAAUUCCGGGGCUCAACUUCGGAAUUGCAUUUGAAACUGGUAGACUAGAGUGCAGGAGAGGAAAGCGGAAUUCCUAGUGUAGCGGUGAAAUGCGUAGAUAUUAGGAAGAACACCAGUGGCGAAGGCGGCUUUCUGGACUGUAACUGACGCUGAUGCACGAAAGCGUGGGGAG